CUCUCAUCCUCUCACGCUUGCUGGGAGCCUGAGCUCCACGGGGAUGCGGGUGGGUGCCUGGCCAGCCCAGGGUGAGGAGGAUGUGCAUUCCGGGGUGCAUGGACAGUGGAGGUGGGAGGGCUUGCUGGGAAUUAGAGGAGGUGCAAGAUAAAGACAGGGGUCGGGAAAGGCUCCACACUCUGGCCUGAGCUGCAGGAGGGCAGGCUGGCAUCAGCUGAGUCCCGAGCCCGUGGGAGACGGCCUUGACAUAUGGGUCGGGGGGCUCAGGGUGCCUCUAACAGUCCAACAGCAACGCAGUGGCUCCCAGGACAUGGGCGUCUGAGCAACUGCUCCAGGCUGCCAGCAGUCCUGCUCCUCUUGCCUUAGGGCCUGGCCUCCUCUGCCUUGAUGUCCCCACCACCAGAAACCCCAGGACCACAUUCAGAGAGCAGAGCUUUGGGAGAGGAGAGAGUGUGAAAGGGUCAACUCAACCACUGGGUCCUCAGGGGCCCUCCGGUCAUGCCCAUCAUUGUGGGGGCAGCCCUGCCCUGCCUUCCAUAGGCAGGUGACCUGGAGGGGUUUGCUGUCCGUGGAAGAGCCCUGAGGGCUGAGCAUGCAUCUGAAGUUCAAGGGCAAGCCUGGGCUGCAGGGGCAUACAUGGGCAUCCGUGCUGGGAGGGAAGCCUGGAGAGAGGGGCCUUGGGACAUCUUUCUGGAUUUCGGGGUGAAAAGCCUCCCCAAGCAACUGCCCUUGCUGUGAGAAGGAGAAUUCACUUGUGUCCUGCUUCCUGUGGCCUGCAAGGACUUCUUGUGAGGUCCGUGGGCCACACCCUGGUCAUUGCACCAGGCAUCCAGGGCAGCUCUUCUCUGGGAGGCCUCCUGAGCCUGUUGGCCCAGGCACAUUUUGCAUGUUCUCAAAACGUCUUAUCUGUGACAUGCGGGUCCUACAUUCCCCCCACCCUGUCGUGCAUCCGUCAUGCAUCUACCCCUUUGAUUGACGUCCUCAGCCCCGGGCCCUCCCCUCUGUGCCUGCCUUUCCCGUGUCUCCCUGUUAUCCAGCAGCUGGCAGGCCACCAUCAUCUCUCUUUUGGCCUCUGCAUAGGCUCUCGAUGUCCCUCAUUCUCUCAGUGCCCUCCACAUUCCUGCCCUCUGCUCUCAGGCCCCAGGGACCCACUAGGGCAUCUGGAAUACACUUGUACCUUCCUCCUUGCUCUAAGGCUGUGCUAGACCUGGCUCCCUUCUGUCUCCAGACUCCCUUGGAUCACUCUCCCAGGUCCGCUCAGGCCUGUGGCCUCCUCCCUUGAACCACUCUCCCUGUCUCUGUGCAGGGGCUGCUCACAGCUUCCUGGAAGUUUCUUGUAUGUGCUUCCCUGA
rnacentral:lncRNA from 1 species